rnacentral:rRNA from 1 species
AACGAACGCUGGCGGCAGGCUUAACACAUGCAAGUCGAACGCAUGCCUUCGGGCAUGAGUGGCAGACGGGUGAGUAACGCGUGGGAACCUACCCCUUGGUACGGGAUAGCUCCGGGAAACUGGAGAUAAUACCGUAUGUGUCCUGAGGGACAAAGAUUCAUCGCCAAGGGAUGGGCCCGCGUCGGAUUAGCUAGUUGGUGGGGUAACGGCCUACCAAGGCGACGAUCCGUAGCUGGUCUAAGAGGAUGAUCAGCCACAUUGGGACUGAGACACGGCCCAAACUCCUACGGGAGGCAGCAGUGGGGAAUAUUGGACAAUGGGCGCAAGCCUGAUCCAGCUAUGCCGCGUGAGUGAUGAAGGCCCUAGGGUUGUAAAGCUCUUUCACCGGUGACGAUAAUGACGGUAACCGGAGAAGAAGCCCCGGCUAACUUCGUG